rnacentral:rRNA from 1 species
UACAGAGGGUGCGAGCGUUAAUCGGAAUUACUGGGCGUAAAGCGUGCGUAGACGGUUGUCUAAGUCGGAUGUGAAAUCCCCGGGCUCAACCUGGGAAUUGCAUUCGAGACUGAACAGCUAGGGUGCGGAAGAGGGAAGCGGAAUUUCCGGUGUAGCAGUGAAAUGCGUAGAUAUCGGAAGGAACAUCAGUGGCGAAAGCGGCUUCCUGGUCCAGCACCGACGUUCAGGCACGAAAGCGUGGGGAACAAACAGG